GACGAACGCUGGCGGCGUGCUUAACACAUGCAAGUCGAACGGUAAGGCCCUUCGGGGUACACGAGUGGCGAACGGGUGAGUAACACGUGGGUGAUCUGCCCUGCACUUCGGGAUAAGCCUGGGAAACUGGGUCUAAUACCGGAUAGGACCACUGCCUGCAUGGGUGGUGGGGGAAAGCUUUUGCGGUGUGGGAUGGGCGCGCGGCCUAUCUGCUUGUUGGGGGGGUGGUGGCCUACCCAGGCGACGACGGGUAGCCGGCCUGAGGGGGUGACCGGCGACACUGGGACUGAGAUACGGCGCAGACUCCUACGGGAGGCAGCAGUGGGGAAUAUUGCACAAUGGGCGCAAGCCUGAUGCAGCGACGCCGCGUGAGGGAUGACGGCCUUCGGGUUGUAAACCUCUUUCAGCACCGACGAAGCGCAAGUGACGGUAGGUGCAGAAGAAGGACCGGCCAACUACGUGCCAGCCGCCGCCGUAA
rnacentral:rRNA from 1 species